CCGGGAGAAGUUUGCUUGGACCUGUCGCCUUUGUAAAUUAAGUUUAUAAAGGACACAUUAACACAACGAUCGCUUCACCAAAUACUAAUAGUAUGGAAACCAACACCAGAGGUGGCGUGUUUGAGUGUGUCUGGAGGCCUCUGCGAAGAGUCUGGAGGCUCCUGUGCUGCAGUGGACCUGAGGAGGAGGA